rnacentral:sRNA from 1 species
AGCUCAAUUAAAUAGGCUCCUCAAGGGUGGUCGGCUCAUCUCCUGCCGAAAGGGAGUGUUACCAUGUCUGCACAUGAAGUCAUUUCACUCUUGCUCUAAUUCGGGCUGUUAUUACUCGCGGCUCUUACUUUGGUCUUGACGAUCAUGAAACAGAUGCUGGACAUCCAAAAUAAAAAGAAAUAGAUCGCCCUCUGAGUUGGUAGCUCUGGCGAUCUAUUUCGUCUUACAAAACCUUAUAGAGCCGACACCCUUGAAGGGUAUCCGUUGUGCAAACGACCGUAGGUGUUUCGCACCUUCGG